UCACUCAGGGGCAGGGUGAGGUGCCUCUUGUUCUGCCUCUUCCUCCUGUUCUUGUUAUGACCCUGCUUUGUCCUUCUUUACUAAACAAGCCAUCUUUCCUGGGCAUUCCUUUUCCUUUUUUGAGGGGCAACUGCUACAGACAGGGGGUGGUCCUCUGGUUCAGCUGCAUCACCCACCCCUGGGGUGAGUAGUGACAGUGUCUGUGAUUACUGGAGUUUGAGUGCCCACUGUGCCUGUCGUGGGGGUUGGAGUAACUACAAAUAAUUUUUUGACCCUAAACAAGAGCUGAACCACGUUCAGCCACUGCUGGUUCCUACCAAUAGAACCAUGCUGGUUCCAACAUCCCAAGUGUAUUCAAAAUUCUCCUAAUUCUCAAAUGCUCUGGUAAUUAGGCUGGAGAAGAAAGGGAGGCUGUGGGAAGAUGUCUGUCCUGCAUAGGCCGGUUUCCCGAGGAAUCGGGUAAAAGAUGCAAUUGUGAAUAGUUCCCAACAGGUGUCUCCCCACGCACAGGUGAUGGCAGCGCUGAGACACGCCCAGGUGAAUUAAAACAAUUAAACCCCUCAGCCCUGCCCCGAAGGCAACGAACACAACAGGGUGCAGUAGUGCAAGCCAGGUGUUGGAGAUCACAGCUCUGAGAGCAAACUAAUCAACACGGUGUGGCCAGUGGCUGUCAAACCACAAGGAAUGCUUGUAACAAACUUGUUUCAACAUGCCCUGGUCAGAUCUGUGGUUAAUUUCGAGUCCCACGCUGGGUGCUGAAAAGGGCUGCUGUUGUUUAGCCCAGUUGGUAACCAAGCGUCCUCCCUCACCCACCCCACUCCCAGGGACACAAGGAGAAGGACUGGAAAAAGGAAAAACCUAGAAACCACCAUAAAGCGACUGCCACUGCUCCUGCCAUGGCUGUCAGGACAAAUGCAGCAAUGACUCCUUUCUGCCAAGCUGCUAAGAUGACUGCAAAUAAGAAAAACAGGUUUAAGAGAGUAGUUACAGUGACAGGUCAGCACUACCAAAUUCUGUAGUUCCUGACCUUUCAUUUUACUACACAUCAACCUUCUUACACACUGGGGAAGAUCUUGGAAGAGACUUGUGUGCCAAGUUUUCUAGUGAGCCUCUCCUUUGUGACCAAAAGCUCAAGCGUGUGAUCAACAGCUUGGUUUUAGCUUGCAUCUUGCUCCUUUGGCUUUUGGGCAUCCCCUUGAUUUUUCUAUAAUUAAUAUUUCUAAGCUGGACAACCUCAGUUUAUAGAGACAUCUCUCUGACUUCUGACAGCAGUGGAACAAAAACCACCAGUAAGGUGGCAUUCACCACUCCAGUAAGGGAGUUAUACAGAGGAACAUCUCAAAUCAGAUGGCCUGACCUGUAAAGGUGACAGAAUUGGCAGCUUAUCAUUAAGGAGCUCACCACUGAUGGUUAUUGGACGGCUCCUCACGUCCACGCUGGCUCGGUUUGAAGCCAUGCAAUAAUAGGUCCCUGUGUCCUUCCUCUUCAUUGUUUUCUUGUGCCAUAUGGUUCUGUCUGAAUAUUCCCUUACUUCGUGUAGAAGAACUUCAUGAUCAGUUUUUUUAAAAAACUUGAAGUCAAUUGGCCAAGAUCCUUCCUUCACAGAGCAGAGGAAAGCAGCAUCACUGCCAACUUCUACUUCUCCAUACGGAACGCUGCCCAAACUGGCAUCCCUGAUUGGUACUACAGAGGAAGGCACAAAGAAAGCAAAUAUUAGCACUAUUAGAAAUAACUUUGAUGACAAAAUAUUGUAUUGUAGAAAUGCUUGCUUUAAUGCUUAGUUAAACAGAGACUGAAUGCACAGUAUUAAUCUUUCUGAACAGUCUCUGCCAGACAGCAUCCUCUAGUAAAUAUUUUUAUAGACCCAGAAAUAGAGAGGGCAUGACAAAGAAACAAAGCAGACACAGGAAAAAAUUAUAUCCAUUCCAGAGAGGUCAGUCAGUCUCUUUCCUCAAAACCUUCAGAUGCCCCUCUGGCCCCAGCCUACAAAUGAUUUAAUUUCCAGAAAUAAUACACUCAGCAGUUCCAUUGUUUAAAUAAUUAUGGUGCAAUUUAUGUAGUUCUGCUUUCAUAGUUAUGUAGAGUUAUGCUGGUUUAUGCUAAUUCUGUGAUAAGUGUGUUCUUGUAACUUUUAAUAUACAAUUGAGGGAGUCAGGAGAUAAUGGAUCAAGUUCUCCAAAGGCAUAAGCAAAUCCCAAAUUUCAAUGGUUACAGAAGAUAGCAAACACAAGGAGAGAAGUUAGUUUGCAUUCAAAGAAGUUGUAAGAAUAUGCAUAGCCAAACCAUAGAUUUUAAGUCUGCUGGUUUACAAAUGAAGCACAUGAGCAUACACAGAACUGGCCUAGGAGCAGAUGAGUUUCAGUCUUUGUUUCAAGGGGAGAAAAUGGACACACAUUGUGUGAUGCAAGACAUGUAGAAUAUCGGCAGCUUUGCAAAAUGUUUGGGAUAUGAAGCAGGUUUUGCUAAAAUUCCCAAAGAAAAAUUCUCUGGAAAUAUUAUAAAUGUGUUUGGGGAAGAGCUGUAGAUAACACAAGGCAGUUAUAAAGAAGGAAUCAUUAAAGCAACACUGGUACAGAAGCAGAGGAAGGAAACCAGAUUUGACAUGAAAAGAUGGUGGCCAUGGAAGCUGUAUUUGUGUUAGGAAGCAGAUUUAGAUAUAAGACAUGGGUUACUAAGACUGAGCCCCUGACAGAGAGAAUUGCUCUGGAAAACAUAAGUCCUUUUCCAGGUCUGGUACAGCCAGAAAGGACAGAAUACAGAGAAUUUGAAGUCACCACCUCACCAGUGAUGGACUGUGGAAGACUGGCUAACAGGGCUCCAAAUAAUGACCUUCUCUUCAGAACUUCUAAACAGUGUCACAAUACAUCCCAAACCACAGCUCUGACAGCUGGGAUACACCAAUUCCAGCAAAGAAAUAUCCACUUGUUAAUGGACUAAAAUUAUUAUUUGUGCUUGUUUAUUUGUACCUUGCUAUUUCAAAAUACCUUGACUUCAAAUCUCCCUAGAUACAAUUCUUCAGAGUUUUAUCAUUUAGCUUCUCUCUACUGUUAGUAAAUGGUGGAAUUGAUGAAUUUCAGGUGAGUCCUAAUGAGCUGUAGUCUGGGUGAAUGCAAAUACUGUAUUUAAAAGCCCUGUUUGGGAGCUCAGCAAGUGGAGAGUGCAAUAAUCCAACUGACUCAGAAGAAAUGCAAAAAUUCUGGAUUUAUCUGUUCUAGUCAUACACAACUCAGUGUCAAAACUCAGAAGGAAAACAGCCUAUUAACCACAAGUUUAUCUUAUUGAGACCAACACCAUUUGGGUUUAAACUAGGAUGCAAAGCUGAAAACUCCUUGGUAGAGAGAAAUUACCUCUUCUUUUUCAAAGAUCAAGAAUUGACUUUUGCUCUGGUCCUGGACUACAGUGCUGUGAUAGGCAACUAUUUUAACUCAAGUGAGCAAGAACUUGUAAACAUUUCACAUCCAUUUUGCUUAGUCCACUGUUUGUUGCUACGGUUUCAAAACUCUAAAUAUUACAUUAGACAAGAAGAAGAAGAAUUAAACAGACUUACCUAUCACUGUGACAUUUAGAAUAUUGCUAGUUUUCACACCACUGGAGUGAUUGUUUCUAGCAUCACAUUUGUACCCUCCAUUGUCAUUUAGUCCAAUAUCUUCAUCCAAGAACGUAGCAUAUGUGUCAUUAGUCACAUUUUUCUUAAUUUCAUCCCCUUUGUAGAAUGUGAAAGUUAUUGGUGGUGUUCCCAUCACUGAAUGACAGAUUAAUUGUAGAGGCUUCCCUAAUACCACCUCUGGUGAGCCGCUGACAACGGAAAGAGUUGGCUUGGAGACUGGAGCUAAAAGGUGAAUUUAAAAAAAAAUGUUGCAAAUUACACUGCAUAAAGCCAAAAGACACAAUAUUAUUUUGUAGAAAACAUAAAUAUACAAUAUUUAGCUAGUUUGCAGACACAGUCUAUAUUGGGAAGCUCUUAUCAAUAGAAUGGAAAUGGGGGAAUUUGAAUAAAUCAAUAGCAUAGAUAAUAGAACAUACUUGAAUUUGAAUAAAGCAGCAUACAGGGACAAUAUGAAGCAAAACAAGGAAAGGAUCAGUGACAUAGCUGUAGAUCAUCCAAAUUCCAAAAGCAGUUCUGACCCAAGGAACAAGUCUGCUCCAUGUAUGACCUGAGAGAGACUGCACAGCUCCUCCUCAGGGCCCUGCUCCAGCAGCACAGUGAACAAUCCAGUUCAUCCCCUGGCAGACUGGAGAGCCACUGUGCCUGUUCCAGGAGAGGGAAGGGCACUGGAGUACUCAGAGCUGCUGAGGGGGCUGUGCUUUUGGCAAUGAACCCCUGGAUUUUCUAGAGCAGAGCCAAGCAGAUGACCUCUGGCUCUCCUGGCUUUCUGCCUGGAGGGGCAGGGGCAGGGAUUCAAGGCAGACACUGAGAAAGCUUCAGAUCAAUGUGAAAGUUUUGCAGAACGUUCCUGGCCCUGCAAAUGGCAGUGAAUGAGAGUUUAUCUGGUCCCUAGCAGAACCCAGGGACCAGCAGGAAGCCAUUCCAACCCCUUCUCCGAGGGCCAGCCCUGGAAAGUAUGACUUGAUUAUAUCACAAUACACCAAAUCCUCUGCAGCUAAAGCACAUCCCACAGAAAUUCAUGUUGUAAGAACUAACAGACACCCUGCUAGUUCAUGGACUAGAGACUGAUUCUGUAAACAGAUGUCCUUAUUUAUAAGCUUCUGGUUUAGAUCCUUCCCCCACCCUGGUGGUUCUAAGCUCUGUGUCAACUCACCAUAAACGCUUAUCCUUACAGGUUUGCUCUCCUUGACUAUUCCUUUUACUUCAGCUUUGCAGGUGUAAGAUCCAGUAUCAUUCACAUUAACUUUAAUUGCCAAGACUCUAGAUUUUUUCAGCAGGAUGUCUCCACUGGAACUUUUCCUUAGUAUGGAGAAGUUGGCUCUCCGUAAACCAUUAAUGCUGCAGUUCAAAAUUAAAUCUUUAUUUUCAUCCAACUUAGUCAUAGAAGCAGACAGUGUUGGCCUGGGGAAUAAUUCUGCAAGAUAAAAAGAGAGCUGAUCCAUUCAAAAUGAGCCUGGAAGAAUAUGACUACUUAUCUCAAAGUAUACAGAAUGAAGGACAUACUGAUAGUUUAUAAUUUGGGAACAAAACAAUUGUGUUAUUUUCAGGGAAAACAGAAACUUAGCAUUUGCUUGAAACCACUUUUCACAGAUUGUUUGAGGAUAUUAUUUUAGCUGGGAAGUAUAGGUGGGCAAAAAUCAGAAACUAAAAUCUAAUCAGCCUUUAACUUACAGAAAAUUUACACUUGGAUCUGGAGGUUACACUUGGAUCCCGAGUUCUGCCAAAUUUAAAUAUUAAUACUUUGAGUAAAAUCUAGAGGUUUUACCUGACACAAAGACAUUCAGUUUGGUGAUUUUAGACACUGCUCCUUGCUCCACCUUACACAGGUAUUCACCACUGUCCUCUUGAGUAGCUAGUGUAGAGUAUUUCAAAAGUUUCUUAUCUCGUACACUGUUCAGUAUUGUUCUGUUUUUCUGGAAGAUGAUUUCAAUGCCACGCAUUUGAGCUACCACGGUUGAGCAUUCAAAUUCUAUGUGGUCUCCUUCUGUAAUGUUAUUGGAGGGCCUGGUGAUCAGAGUGGGCUUUAUAAAUGGUUCUGCAAGAGAAUACAUAUAAACAGAUUGAUAUACUUAUUAAUAUGUGACCCAAUUUUUAUCUCUAGCUAGCAAAGAAAUGUAAAAAGAAAAGUUAAACAACUUACCCUUGACUGUAACAAGCGUUUUGUUGCUAUGUUGGGAGCUUUCCCAUCCAGAUCUUACUUGUCUCUUGCCAAAGCAAUCAAAUUGUAAAAUAUCAUCGCCUGCUUCAACGUAAUAUUCCAUUUCAGAAAAAUUUUGGUUUUGUUCAGGUAUACGUUUUUCUAUAGGCUCUGAAUUUGUCUUUA